CGAACGGGUGAGUAAUGCGUGACCAACCUGCCCCAUGCUCCAGAAUAGCUCUUGGAAACGGGUGGUAAUGCUGGAUGCUCCAACUUGACGCAUGUCUUGUUGGGAAAGUGUUUAGUGGCAUGGGAUGGGGUCGCGUCCUAUCAGCUUGUAGGCGGGGUAAUGGCCCACCUAGGCUUCGACGGGUAGCCGGCCUAAGAGGGCGGACGGCCACAUUGGGACUGAGAUACGGCCCAGACUCCUACGGGAGGCAGCAGCC
rnacentral:rRNA from 1 species